rnacentral:tRNA from 1 species
GAGGGUAUAGCUCAGUGGUAGAGUGUAUGCUUAACAUGCAUGAGGACCUGGGUUCAUUCCCCAGUACCUCUA